rnacentral:rRNA from 1 species
GACGAACGCUGGCGGCGUGCUUAACACAUGCAAGUCGAACGGAAAGGCCCCUUUGGGGGUACUCGAGUGGCGAACGGGUGAGUAACACGUGAGUAACCUGCCCUUGACUUCGGGAUAACUUCAGGAAACUGGGGCUAAUACCGGAUAGGAAUCCUUGCUGCAUGGUGGGGGUUGGAAAGCUUCGGCGGUUUUGGCUGGACUCGCGGCUUAUCAGCUUGUUGGUGGGGUAGUGGCUUACCAAGGCGUUUACGGGUAGCCGGCCUGAGAGGGCGACCGGCCACACUGGGACUGAGAGACGGCCCAGACUCCUACGGGGGGCAGAAGGGGGGAAUAUUGCACGAUGGGCGGAAGCCUGAUGCAGCAGCGCCGCGGGCGGGAUGACGGUGUUAGGGUUGAAAACCGCUUUCAGCAGGGGCGAAGCUUGUGGUGACGGUACCUACAGAAGAAGCACCGGCUAACUAAGUG